GCCAAAGCAAAGAAAUUGUUGCUUUCUGGCUGAGUGGGUUUUACUGAAAGUGUUUUGUUUAAACUUUUUCUUCAAAUUUUCAACACACAGGUUAGAAGAAAGGAAGGUCUUUUUGUUGUUUCUGUGGAGUGUAUUCUUAAUAGCUCUUAGAAAGUUCCUUUCAGGAUCAGGAUUCUGCAACCAAGGGAAAUGAGAAGUCAAAGGUUGGAAACAUCUGAAAUAACUUCUUCAUUUAAGGUGCGACUGCUGGUCUCUGUCAGCAUCAGGUAUGGCUUUGUAUGGAUCCAGCG
rnacentral:lncRNA from 1 species